ensembl:lncRNA
UGUGCCAGGAAAUGUGCUAAUUGCCAGGUGUGACACGUUAACCUCCUCUGGAGGAAGUGCGUGAGAAGCAGUUCAGCUGCUGGCUGAAGUGAAGUCACAGCCCUAGUAUGUGUAGGUGCUGUAUUACCAUUUGCAGAAGAAAGGAACCUGAUGCAAUCUUCAAGGUGCAGCAUGGCCAAAGCUUUGUGAGAUGCUUUUUUUCUGUGCUUUGCUUAAAAUGGUGGAAAACAAGUACUUCUUCAAGAAACAUUGGUGAUGCUUCUUACUGGAAUUGCUGAUGGAGUUAAGGCCUGAAGACUUGCUGUUUUGCCACCUCUUGGCUGCUGAAGGCAAGAUCUUGUGAGAAUGUGACUAAUACGCUGCUGGAGUCGUCAGGUUUUUUGUCCUGAGGAUGGGAGAAACAAGAGAUGUUAAAACUAAAAUGUAUGCCAAUGAAACUUCAAGUGUAUAAAGAGAAAUCUGGAAAAAGAACCAGGAAAUGAAAAAGCCAUGGUACUUGAUUUUCAUUUUGACAUGCCUUAAUUAUCAGCUGGAUUAUUUAAAUCUGCAGCUAUAUUUAUUCCAUGUAUGUAAUCAUAAACACUGAUAUUAGGAGGAUCAGUGUAUUUUCAUUUCCUGUAUUUGGAGAUUUAAUUUAUUACCCUUCAGUAUAGCAUUAGUGGUUUUUGCAUUUAUUUUCCUUUUCUAAAUAAAUAUAAAUAAUAUGGAGAGAGAUAAUAUUUUUUAAUUUAUUUUUCAAUAACAUUGUUUUAUAAGUAGUCCUUCCAGGCUGUGAAAAUAACAUAUCUAGAACAAUAAACUGAAUGGGAUGUUGUAACAUAUAUUGAUGUUGCUAUUUGGCUGAAUCUUGAUUUUACAGAGGCAGCAAUGCUACCAGUCUGAGCCAUGAAUCUUUUCCAAGAGAACAUAAAAUACACAGAGAUUGAAAGUGAUAAAAGUUCAGAGAAUUCCUUCUUUUUUACUAUGGUGCUAGUGAGUUACUUCUUUUAAUGUAACCUGUUCCAUCCAGGUCUAACACCACAUUGGACUUAAAGAGUUUUAUUCCUGAAUUUGGAUGACACAGGAACAUCUCAUCCUGCUGAACUCCUGUUCACAGCAGGAGGAGUAAAUGGAGUUAUUCUGUGUGCCCCAUUCUAGCUGCUCAGAAUGUAGAAAAUGGUGAAAUAAAGCAGGUUUAAAAUUAUGCAAGCUAGCUGGAAAAAAAAAAAAAGAAAUAAAAGCAUUUUUUAAAAAGUGCUGAGUAUUCUUAUCUUGCAUCUCACAAACAGCAGAUGUGACACCAACUUCUCUAGCAAGAAUCCAAGAUGCCUAUAAUGCAGUGGCUUAUUAAAAGCAACCAAUGUCCAUCCUCCCACUUCUUUUCCCCCAUCUUGUAUAGGUAAAUGAUGUUAUUUGUUCACUGGAUGCCUGCUCCUGGUACUAAGUGCCUUAGUUUAUAUUGACUAAAACACCGCCUUCACUUAAAUAAGACUUUAAAUAAGGUGAAAUAUUUGCUUAAAGGAAGUAAAAUAUUAGAAAACAUAACUUUCUUUUAUGUCCAAGGUAGUGAAUGAAAAUCAUAGCAAUGAAAUCAUGAGAAUCACCUUAUUUAAUGUGAAUGUUCAAUUUGUGAAGGUAGGAUUUUGGGUAAUUAAAACAAAGGAGCUACAGAUUUUAAGUCAUUACGUAUUAAUGUCCUGUUCCUUCAUUUUUUUUCCAGAUCAACGCAUACAAUGUUAUCUAAUGACUAUAAAUAGUCUUUUAUGGUUGAGCAGAGCAAGGAACUCACAAGAAGAUCCUCCAAGGGUAGCAGGUGCUGCUUGUGUGAGGGUUGCUGAUUGUGCAUUGCUCAGUGUUCUCAUCUGUUAUGAACAUUUGUCAUCUGCUGCUAUGAUCUCCAUCUUCCAGCUUAGUUAGUACGUACUGCUAAGCCCGCCGCUUCUGGAGAUGAAAAUGGCUUCUGGAGUGUUGUUGUCUUGUUAGUACAGCAAAGAAGGUCUAUGGGGAAGGUUACUGCAUGUGAGUGGCAUCAACCGGAACAGCCCCUCCAGGCUUGUGGGAUAUUGCUGACCUGCACUCUACACUCGUGCUAUUUGGGGUGAUCUGCCUGCUGGGAGAUAUGUGGACUAGUGAACUGGAUAAAUCAGCAUGUAAUUCUGUAGAUGAAAAAGGUUUCAGAUCUGCCUCCAAAAUUCCAGCUGCUCCUUCAGUUAAUCUCACUUCCCUUGCUGAUCCUGCCAGGAUACCUCAGGACAGUCCAAGGAUGUGCACAGGCAACUAUCUGAAUAAAGGGGUCAAAGAGGAAAAACUGACCUGAGUACUUUGAACUGGUCUUCAUGGGAGCCAAUCUCAUUUCUAUGACCAUGGAGGGAGAAUACUUCCCUUUAUCCCCCUUAUCACUUUGUUGAACAAGGUCAGUACUGUUAAGUUACUCCUUUGAUAACAAUGUGAGGACAACAUCAAGAGUUGGUUUGGGGGCAUGUGAGUUUUUUUGCUGGGGAAUUCUUUGAAGGAUGUAGAGAUGGGCAAUAGUGAGACACUACAGCCGAUGGCAAGACUGGUAAAAAUACCACUGAUUUCAGGAGCAAUAAUAGCAUUUCACCUAGCAUACUGGAAUUUGCUUGCAGUUAUUUCACACUCAUGUUUCCAUUUGCUUGGUUUGUUCUUACCACUGCUAACAGAUAUGAAGCUCCAUUUGCUCCUCCAUGCUACAAUGUAGUAAAUAAUCUGGAAAAGCCAGCAGAUUUUACACUACUGUGCUAAUUCAUUUCAUGCUGUUAUCAUGAGCAACAACUAUGGCAAAAACCCUUAAAGGAACAUUUGAAUAGAAAUGAGCACAAAGGAAGGUUCAGAGAUAUUUUAAAGGUUGAGGAAAAAAUGAUUUUUCCCUUUCAGUACCUUGUUGAUAGUCCGUUAACAAUGUAGCAAUGCAUAGCAGGAGCAUGGUUUUGUGAAGGAUUACAGCUCUUUUGUUUUGAUUUUUAUUUGUGGAACAAAGCCUAGAGUGGUAAGGGACAACCCCCAAGCAAAGUCGAGUCUGUUUUUUUUCUUUUUCGUGAAAAUAAAUAAAGCCUCAAAGCAUUUGUUGAUUACAGACUGAGCAGUUGUUUUGCUUUCAUAUAAGAUUAAAUACUCUCAUUUUCAGUCUUAUUUAACAGUUUUAAAAUAGGUAGAAUAUCAAAGCAAAACAUGUGAAGAGAGCUGUGUACAACAUAAAAGCUUAUAAAAUCUGCUUGUUGCCAGCCACGAAGGUGACAAGUUCCAACUGAAGUCUAA